CUCCAUCACCCUCCUUUCAUCAGGAGAGGAUGUAUCCUCAAGAGGAGUAGGUUGCUCGGUCCGAAGAGCAAGGUCAAGAUCCAUGCAACCCAGAACGAUCAUGACGUUCUCUUUCCAUUCCUUAAAGUUUGUGCCGUUAAGCAUAGGGAUGUUGUUGAUGUUGGCAGAGAUCGUAGAAGCAGAAGAAUUAACUGAAAAUAGAAUAAAAGGAUUACUGAAUACAUGC
rnacentral:lncRNA from 1 species